rnacentral:rRNA from 1 species
UGAGGAAUAUUGGGCAAUGCCCGCAAGGGUGACCCAGCAACGCCGCGUGGAGGAUGAAUGUCGUAAGAUUGUAAACUCCUGUUAGAGGGGAAGAAUAGUACCGGUUGGACCGGUAUAUGACUGUACCCUCAGAGAAAGCCCCGGCUAACUACGUGCCAGCAGCCGCGGUAAUACGUAGGGGGCAAGCGUUGUCCGGAUUUACUGGGUGUAAAGGGCGCGCAGGCGGGAUAAAAAGUCAGUGGUGAAAUCCUACAGCUUAACUGUAGAACUGCCUUUGAUACUUUUAUUCUUGAGUUCGGGAGAGAGAGACGGAAUUCCAGGUGUAGUGGUGAAAUACGUAGAUAUCUGGAAGAACACCGGUUCCGAAGGCGGUCUCUUGGUCCGACACUGACGCUGAGGCGCGAAAGCGUGGGGA